UACGAAGGGGGCUAGCGUUGCUCGGAAUCACUGGGCGUAAAGGGUGCGUAGGCGGGUCUUUAAGUCAGGGGUGAAAUCCUGGAGCUCAACUCCAGAACUGCCUUUGAUACUGAGGAUCUUGAGUAUGGGAGAGGUGAGUGGAACUGCGAGUGUAGAGGUGAAAUUCGUAGAUAUUCGCAAGAACACCAGUGGCGAAGGCGGCUCACUGGCCCGUAACUGACGCUGAGACGCGAAAGCGUGGGGAGCAAACAGG
rnacentral:rRNA from 1 species